rnacentral:tRNA from 1 species
GGCGAUGUGACCGAGUGGCUAGGUAGCGGUCUGCAAAACCGCUUACACCGGUUCGAAUCCGGUCGUCGCCU